CACGUAGGGGGCGAGCGUUGUCCGGAAUUAUUGGGCGUAAAGAGCUCGUAGGCGGUCUGUCGCGUCGGCUGUGAAAUCCCGAGGCUCAACCUCGGGUCUGCAGUCGAUACGGGCAAACUAGAGUAUUGCAGGGGAGACUGGAAUUCCUGGUGUAGCGGUGAAAUGCGCAGAUAUCAGGAGGAACACCGGUGGCGAAGGCGGGUCUCUGGGCAAUAACUGACGCUGAGGAGCGAAAGUGUGGGGAGCGAACAGG
rnacentral:rRNA from 1 species